UGGAUCCCCAGAUGCUAUCCUCAGGUGAGGUACCCGUGGAAUGACCUUCAGCGUAAUGGCAUUUCAUGUUAGCUGAAACUGUGUGUGACUAUUGGUUGCCAACUGGGGUAAAGGCAUCGUUUCUCCCUCCGCACUCAAUAACUGUGAGACUCUAAAAGGCACAAAGAAAGAAAGAAUAUAAGAACCCUGCUACAUCCUCCUUCAAGAUAGAAAGAAGAAACCCCAAACACAGAGAAUGCAAGAAGCAGAAGAGAUGAAGGCAGAAAUACUUUAACACCAUUACUAUUUCUGAAUAUCAACUUCAUUUUGGGCCCCAUCUUUACAGCGAUCAGCUAGCAGAGUCAAAAAGCCCGUGUGGAGUUUUCAACAAAGCAGAGGUGCAAUUUUCCUUGGAAAAAAAAAAUAACAAUAUGGAACACUUCUGUCUCACAUGUCAGAAACUUGUGGAAAAUAAAAUGGUGAAAAGCUCUGAA